AGACCCACCGGUCAAAGAGAUACUACUACUUCUCGAAACCACCUACCAUUCUUCUUCCCUCUUUCUCUUUCUUCUUCUUCUUCUAUUAUUAGUUUCAGUCGCAGUAUUUGAUUCCUAUCCCUGCUUCCUCUUACUACUUCCUGUUCAGUGGGGUGUUGAUAUUGUUCCCUCGGGCCUCCCACGGCGAUGGCGGGAGGCAGCAGCAUCCAUGCGAAGCUGGUACUUCUUGGGGACAUGGGAACAGGAAAGACUAGUAUAGUACUGAGGUUUGUCAAAGGCCAGUAUUUUGAUUGUCAGGAAUCUACAAUUGGUGCAGCCUUUUUCUCUCAAAUACUAUCAAUAAGUGAUGCAACUAUAAAGUUUGAUAUAUGGGAUACAGCUGGACAAGAGCGAUAUCAUAGCCUGGCUCCCAUAUAUUAUCAUGGGGCAGCUGCAACUAUUGUUGUGUAUGACAUCUCGAGCAGAUUAGUGCUGAGUUCUGAAGUUGAUGAAAAGCUUGCAUCAAAGCCAGCUCUAGUAUAUACUAGAAGACCAAAAGUACAGACAUAGCUUACCUCCAACCGAUCCUCCGUCUGUGGUUAAAGGUCUUACUCAUCAGCAAUCCUCUUUUCCUUCUGAUUUUAAUGUUCCUGUUGCUCUUUGAAAAGGUCUUAUCAGGAAGCCAUGUUAGUUCCUACUUAGAAGGAGGAUAUGGGUGAGGAGAUGAAAGCACUUGCUUCUCAGU